rnacentral:rRNA from 1 species
UACGAAGGGGGCUAACGUUGUUCGGAGUUACUGGGCGUAAAGGGCGCGUAGGCGGCGCAUCAAGUCAGGCGUGAAAGCCCUGGGCUCAACCCGGGAAUUGCGCUUGAGACUGGUGUGCUUGAGUACGGGAGAGGAUAGUGGAAUUCCCAGUGUAGAGGUGAAAUUCGUAGAUAUUGGGAAGAACACCAGUGGCGAAGGCGGCUAUCUGGACCGUAACUGACGCUGAGGCGCGAAAGCGUGGGGAGCAAACAGG